GUUGAGGGUGCGUGCUGCACUAAAUUAAAGUUACAAAGUAAAACCCCCGUUCCUUACCAGUUCGGGGGUUUUACUUU
rnacentral:sRNA from 15 species